rnacentral:rRNA from 1 species
GACGAACGCUGGCGGCGUGCUUAACACAUGCAAGUCGAACGGAAAGGCCCUGCUUUUGUGGGGUGCUCGAGUGGCGAACGGGUGAGUAACACGUGAGUAACCUGCCCUUGACUUUGGGAUAACUUCAGGAAACUGGGGCUAAUACCGGAUAGGAGCUCCUGCUGCAUGGUGGGGGUUGGAAAGUUUCGGCGGUUGGGGAUGGACGCGCGGCUUAUCAGCUUGUUGGUGGGGUAGUGGCUUACCAAGGAUUUGACGGGUAGCCGGCCUGGGAGGGUGACCGGCCACAUUGGCACUGGGAUACGGCCCAGACUCCUACGGGAGGCAGCAGUGGGGAAUAUUGCACAAUGGGCGGAGGCCGGAUGCAGCAACGCCGCGUGCGGGAUGACGGCCUUCGGGUUGUAAACCGCUUUCGCCUGUGACGAAGCGUGAGUGACGGUAAUGGGGAAAGAAGCACCGGCUACCUACGU